AAGGAACCAAGGAAGAUGACGACCAUGAAGAAGAUGGUGUAGGUUUUACCUGCAGCUCGCAGCGUCUACGCAGACAAACAAAGGUUUCUUGGUUCUGGCUCUUUCCAGUUCUGCCCCUGGUUCUCCUGUGACUUUGAUUCUGACUCCAUUCUGGCUUUUUGUGGUUUAUUAAAGGUCUGUUGCGGUUUAGUUCUUAC